ACCAAGGCGCUUGAGAGAACUCGGGUGAAGGAACUAGGCAAAAUGGUGCCGUAACUUCGGGAGAAGGCACGCUGAUAUGUAGGUGAAGUCCCUGCGGACGGAGCUGAAAUCAGUCGAAGAUACCAGCUGGCUGCAACUGUUUAUUAAAAACACAGCACUGUGCAAACACGAAAGUGCGAAGCGGCGAUUUUCCGCCGGAAGCCCGGGUCGCCAGGGUGGUGGCGACUGAGCCACCCUGGCACGUUCACCGGUUAUGUUGUGACAGAGUAGCAAGGAACAUAACGUGAACGGAAUGACCACCAGAGCCGUAUGUUCCCCCUCACCCCAGCCCUCUCCCUCAAGGGAGAG
rnacentral:rRNA from 1 species